UCACUGUAAGUUGCUAAUGAUGAGGACACUUUGCAUCUGGCGGUCGUAGCUGGUGGGAAGGGCGAAUGGCCUAGUGCCUUUCUAACUUUGGGAGGAUGUUUUCGGGAAGCCUAAUCAGAGAGCGGCUGCUCGCACGUGGGCUUCGGGGUGGGCGUUGUGGCUGCCGCAGUCCACCAGGGCCGCGCCACGCUGCCGACGUGCGAGGAGAGGAGAGGAGAGGGGCGCGUGCUUGUCCCGCAGGGUCCCCGCCUCCACUGAGCCUGAGGUCCCUGAAAGCCAGGACCCCUUUCCGUGGGCUCGCCUUUGGGAGUGAUCAGGUCUGAGAACAGGAUGACAGAUCCACUGACGAGUACGGAAGACGGGAGCAGCAUCCCACUUUGAGGUUGCAAAUGAAUGAAGGACUGGCAAGAGCUGAGUGUUGGAGUGGGAAGCAUUGGCCUGGCCUGAGAUUUUGAGUGUGAAGGGUGGUGAUCAGCAGUGCACUUCGAAAGCUGGUAAUGGUGGUAGCAGCAGCUCCCCUGGGAAGAGACCAUGUUUCCAGAGGAUGGUCAGCCAUGCUGCAGCAGGGGCAGCAUUUGAAGUUGCCAGGACCAGUACCACCUGGACAACCUUGACUCGGAAACUCUAGGCUUCAACAUUCACAGUAGAAACAUUCUCACCUUAUUCUAAGCAUCAGAGAGGACAUUCUUACCAACAGUAGGGCCAAGAAAUGGAUUUAGCAGCCUUUGCACAGGACAAGCACUUUGGCAUCAUUAAAUUCAUGAGUUUUCUGGUAUUGAUUGUCCCGGUCAAAAGGAGCUUCUGUACAUUUGAAUGUUGUAUUUGUUAUAUUGGGCAAGGGUCUGAGUUGUUUAAGCUGGAAACUUCCUCCUGAUAUCCAUGUGUAGUUACCAUAAACUAACAUUGUAAUAAAGGAUGGCCUUUGGUAUU